rnacentral:rRNA from 1 species
AACGAACGCUGGCGGCAUGCCUAACACAUGCAAGUCGAACGGGACCUUCGGGUCGAGUGGCGCACGGUUGCGUAACGCGUGGGAACCUGCCCUUAGGUUCGGAAUAACUCCCCGAAAGGGGUGCUAAUACCGGAUAAUGUCUUCGGACCAAAGAUUUAUCGCCUUUGGAUGGGCCCGCGUUGGAUUAGCUAGUUGGUAGGGUAAAAGCCUACCAAGGCGACGAUCCAUAGCUGGUCUGAGAGGAUGAUCAGCCACACUGGGACUGAGACACGGCCCAGACUUCUACGGGAGGCAGCAGUGGGGAAUAUUGGACAAUGGGCGAAAGCCUGAUCCAGCAAUGCCGCGUGAGUGAUGAAGGCCUUAGGGUUGUAAAGCUCUUUUACCCGGGAUGAUAAUGACAGUACCGGGAGAAUAAGCUCCGGCUAACUCCGUG